AUUGAACGCUGGCGGCAGGCCUAACACAUGCAAGUCGAACGGUAACAGGAAGCAGCUUGCUGCUUCGCUGACGAGUGGCGGACGGGUGAGUAAUGUCUGGGAAGCUGCCUGAUGGAGGGGGAUAACUACUGGAAACGGUAGCUAAUACCGCAUAAUGUCGCAAGACCAAAGAGGGGGACCUUCGGGCCUCUUGCCAUCGGAUGUGCCCAGAUGGGAUUAGCUUGUUGGUGGGGUAACGGCUCACCAAGGCGACGAUCCCUAGCUGGUCUGAGAGGAUGACCAGCCACACUGGAACUGAGACACGGUCCAGACUCCGACGGGAGGCAGCAGUGGGGAAUAUUGCACAAUGGGCGCAAGCCUGAUGCAGCCAUGCCGCGUGUAUGAAGAAGGCCUUCGGGUUGUAAAGUACUUUCAGCGGGGAGGAAGGGAGUAAAGUUAAUACCUUUGCUCAUUGACGUUACCCGCAGGAGAAGCACCGGCUAACUCCGUG
rnacentral:rRNA from 1 species